AUCGCUUGAAUUUUUGCCUAAGACCAAGUGUAGUAUCUGUUCUUAUCAGUUUAAUAUCUGAUAUGUCCUCUAUCUGAAGACAAUACAUUAAAUAGAUUUAAAAAAAAAAACUCAU
rnacentral:snRNA from 1 species